rnacentral:misc_RNA from 1 species
GAUGAAGAACGCAGCGAAAUGCGAUACGUAAUGUGAAUUGCAGAAUUCAGUGAAUCAUCGAAUCUUUGAACGCAUAUUGCGCUCUCUGGUAUUCCGGAGAGCAUGCUUGUUUGAGUAUCAGUAAACACCUCAACUCCCUUUUCUUUUUUGAAAUUGGAGCUGGACUUGAGUGAUCCCAACGCUUUCUUCCAAGAAAGUGGCGGGUUGCUUGAAAUGCAGGUGCAGCUGAACUUUUCUCUGAGCUAUAAGCAUAUCUAUUUAGUCUGCCUAAAAAACAGAUUAUACCUUUGCUGCAGCUAACAUAAAGGAGACUAGUUCUUGUGCUGACUGAUGCAGGAUUCACAGAGACAGCUUCGGCUGACUUUGUAAACUCGAUCUCAAAUCAAGUAAGACUACCCGCUGAACUUAAGCAUAUCAAUAAGCGGAGGA